CAAUUGCGCGGCUAUAAUGCAGUCGAGCGCAGGAAACCGUCUGAACCCUUCGGGGGGACGACGGCGGAAUGAGCGGGGGACGGGUGAGUAACACGUAAAGAACCUGCCCAUAGGUCUGGGAUAACCACAAGAAAUCCGGGCUAAUACCGGAUGUGUCAUCGGACCGCAUGGUCCGCUGAUGAAAGGGGCUCCGGCGUCUCCCAUGGAUGGCUUUGCGGUGCAUUAGCUAGGUGGUGGGGUAAAGGCCCACCAAGGCGACGAUGCAUAGCCCAGCUGAGAGGGUGAUCGGCCACACUGGGACUGAGACACGGGCCAGACUCCUACGGGAGGGGGCAGUAGGGAAUCUUCCCCAAUGGACGAAAGUCUGAUGGAGCAACGCCGCGUGAACGAUGAAAGCUUUCGGGGCGUAAAGUUCUGUUGUAAGGGAAGAACAAGUGCCGCACGCAAUGGCGGCGCCUUGACGGUACCUUGCGAGAAAGCCACGGCUAACUACAUGCCAGCAGCCGCGGUAAUACGUAGGUGGCAAGCGUUGUCCGGAAUUAUUGGGCGUAAAGCGCGCGCAGGCGGCCUCUUAAGUCUGAUGUGAAAGCCCCCGGCUCAACCGGGGAGGGCCAUUGGAAACUGGGAGGCUUGAGUAUAUGAGAGAAGAGUGGAAUUCCACGUGUAGCGGUGAAAUGCGUACAGAUGUGAAGGAACACCCUUGUCGAAAGCGACUCUUUGGCCUAUAUCUGACGCUGAGGCGCGAAAACGUGGGGAGCAACACGAUUAGAUACCCUGGUAGUCCACGCCGUAAACGAUGAGAGCUAAGUGUUGGAGGGUUCCGCCCUUUGUGCUCAGCUAAGCAUUAACACUCCCCUGGGGAGACAGUCGCAGGCUCAACUCAAGGAUUGACGGGACCCCACACCAGUGGAGCAUGUGGUUUAUUUGAGCACACGGAAAACUUUCCACUCUUGAAUCCCCUGACCGGAAAAAAUGUACCUUCCCUCUGGGGCAGGGUGACAAGUGUGGAUGGUUGCGUCAGCCCCGUCCGAGAGAUGCGUUAAUCCCCAACAAGGCAACCUUGUCUUUUUUGCACAUUCGUUGGCCCCCUAGGAAAUGCCGUGACAACCGAAGAAGGGGGAUAACCAAAUUCAUGCCCUUAAAGUGGGUACACGUGUCAAUGGAGGGCAAGGGACCCAACCCCAGUGGACCAUCCCAAACGUUUCNUUGGAUGGGGGGCACCCCCGUAGACCGAAUCU
rnacentral:rRNA from 1 species